rnacentral:tRNA from 1 species
CGGAGGAUAGUUUAACUGGAAAAAUGAGGAUUGCCAAUCUGCAGAUGGAGGUUCGAGCCCUUCUCCUCCGC